UUUUUUUGUGGAGGGUUCGAUUCUGGCUCAGGAUGAACGCUGGCGGCGUGCUUAACACAUGCAAGUCGAACGGGAUCC
rnacentral:rRNA from 2 species